GGCCCUGUGGUGUAGUGGUAACAUACUCGCUUAGGGUGCGCCUUACGUGUGAGUGAUCCUGCGUUCGAACCGCAGCCGGGCCC
rnacentral:tRNA from 1 species